AACGAAAAGACUUCCACUCACUUCAAGAGGCUUUGGACAGAACUGGUUAUACACAGGGUCCUGGUCCCACAGCGGAGGGGGGGUGAGCCACUGACCAGACACGCUUUGAGAUAAAGAACUCUGAGAUUGGGGUGAAGAAUCUUCCUGCCUUCCUGGGAGAGUAGAUGUGGAGUGGCCUGGAGAAUGAUCAGUCAAGAAGUAGUUACCAAGAAGAAUCAGAAGAGAAUAUCUUCCUUCUCUUCCCCUAUUACUGCAUCGUACAUAAUGCACCAAACUCAUUCUGUGUGAGGAAUGGUGUUUGGUUUUCUUGUGAAGAUUACACAUUGGACAACCAGAGACAGGACACCCAACUUGGACACUUAGUCUGAUCUGAUAUGGUGAAUCUUAAGGUAAAUAUUUUCCCACUUCAGAUUUCCGUUUCUAGAGGUUCUAUCUCCUAAACUGAAAUAAUUUGCUUCACAGUCAUGAAACAAACUAAUUAAACACAAAAAUCUCUCAUCCAUUCUCACCUAAAACAUACUUUUAAAGUAGACGGCAGUGAUUUUCUUGUUGUUUUGUAUUGCCAAUUUGUAUGGUAAUGUGGUUUGUUUGGUAAUGAAAUAAGCAGCCUAUUAUUGGAGAAUUAUUUUACCACAGGUUUUAUGUAUUAAAAUUUUGUUUGAAUUA